GACGAACGCUGGCGGCGUGCUUAACACAUGCAAGUCGAACGGAAAGGCCCGGCUUUUGUGGGAUGCGGGAGUGGCGAACGGGGGAGUAACACGUGAGUAACCUGCCCUUGACUUUGGGAGAACUUAAGGGAACUGGGGCGAAUACCGGAUAGGAGCUCCUGAUGCAUGGGGGGGGUGGGAAAGAGUCGGUGGUUGGGGAUGGACAGGCGGCUUAGCCGCUUGUUGGUGGGGUAGUGGCGUACCAAGGCUUUGAGGGGUAGCCGGCCUGAGAGGGUGACCGGCCCCAUUGGGCUUCAGAUACGGCCAAUACUCCUACUGGAGGCAGCAGUGGGGAUUAUUCCACACUGCGCCGAAGCCUUAUGCAGCAACGCCGCGUCGUGGAUCUCGGCCUUCGGGUUGUAACCCGCUUUCGCCUGUGACGCAGCGUGAGUGACGGUAAUUGGCAAAGAAGCACCGGCUAACUACGUG
rnacentral:rRNA from 1 species